AGCCCCUGCUCUGGGCUGGGGACAAUGUGAUCUCUAGGCUCCCUGAUGGGACAGAAGUCCUGUGCCUUGGCACACGGGCAGUGCCCAGGCUUUGACCCCUUCCUUGGGACUCCUGUGGUACGUUCCCAUUUAACUCAAGGCUCCUUGUGAUUGGACCAAGCAGUGUGUUCAUAAGACAGAAGGACCAAAGCUUGUGACAGCAGAGAUGGGCAGUGUCAAGGGGGCCUGAGGAUAGGGAAGGUUUUGUGUGGCCUGCUACCCUGAAAAUGGGGCCAGGUGCCUGAGGGUGUUGCCAGGACAGCACUCCUGACUGGCAGGGUCUGUCCAGACCUGUGGUCCCGCCCAACUUGCCCCAUCCUCUCACACAGGUGUUCCAGAGUGAGGUGGAGAAAAUCAUCCAGUGCUUGGUGUGCGGCCACGAGGAGCGCAUCCCAUCGGGAAGCAGGAUGCUGAUCCUGCCCCUGGCUUCCCACACCCAGCUCUGUGGCUUGGAGGGGGCUGGGCAGAAACCUGGCAAGCCAGCCAAUCCGGACACCGAGAUGCUGAGUUUCUCUCUAAUCCAGAAGUUUGAUGAUGAAGACAAUCGGUUCUUCUGUGAGCCCUGUCAUGCCAAGACUCCCGCCUCGGAGGAGACACGCUUCCUGCGGCUCCCGAAGGUCCUGAUUCUGCAAGUCAGGGAGCUGACGUUUGAAAAUGGGAGGUUUCACAAAAUUCAGAAGCCUAUCAACAUUGCCCAGGUGCUGAAACUGCACACCAGCCCCAGAGAACUGACAUUGCCUAAGUGUAAAGCUUCCCACAGUGGCACAAUCACCCCCAACCCGGAGCAGAGAGUCUACCACCUCUACGCCGUGUGCUGCCACUCGGGAGACUGCAGUGGGGGCCACUACACAGCUCUGGCCCAGCCCCCCGGCCAGGCGGAGUGGUUCCGCUUCAAUGACCAGCAGGUGCACUGUGUGGGGCCGGAAUUCCCUCUGCACCACACGUUCAGGUCUGAGACCCCGUACCUACUGCUGUAUCGCUGUCAGGAAACUGGAGACAGGCAGGAGCCAGAGGCACCUGGGCCUGACAAUGGGGAUAUGAGAACCAUGACAGAUGUAGCUGUUCCAAAGGAGAAGGUGCCUUGUCCAGGAGUGGAGGGAGAGACUCUCAAGACAGACUCUGCCACAGUCUGCUGGGGAGGACACAGCCAGAGCCUCUCUCUUCUCCAGGACGACGAGCCCAUCUGCCACAGACAGAGUCCUGCCAAGAAGUGCAGGAGGGACGUGGAGCCUGGCCUUGGGAACAAGGGCAGAGCCUCAGAGCAUGUGGAUGAGGAGGGCCCUAAAGCGCCUCCACCAGGGGAGCAGGGGGAGGCCCGAGGCCUGCCCUGUGGCCCCCAGUGUAGCCCCGAAGAGGAACUCCCUGCCAUGGGAAUGAGGAGCUCGGCAGCUGAAGACCAAGCCCUGUCCCACCCUGCGCAGGGCCUAGCACAGCCCGGAAAGACACCAUCCUGCCUUGGUGAAGCAGCUGCCAUCUACGUCUCCAGCCCGAGCCUGACCUCGCUUCCUGGCCCCCACCACUGGCUCACCCCCAGCCCUAGCCACUUCCCCAGGUCUCUCCCCAGCACCCACUACCCUGCCAGCCUGGACGUUGCCUUUGGGGACCCUUGCAGCCCCCAGGGAGGAAGGCCUCCUAUCCUGAAGCUGUCUAGGGCCAGUCCCGGGCCAGACUCCCACCCAGGGAGCUCCAGCCCAGCAGAACUAGAGGCAGAACAAGGGGUGCUUGGUGGGGAGACUGGGCAGAGCAGGGUGGGGUCCCCAGGGCUCUCCCCCCACGCACUGUCCGCUGUUCACAUGAGGAUGGAGCCUACCUUCUCCAAGCAACUGCAGACAGUGGACAUGAGGACAGGAAGAUCUCUGCAGACCAGGAGAACAGUCAGGACCAGGGCUGGACCAUGA
ensembl:lncRNA